rnacentral:rRNA from 1 species
GGUCCUGCCUGCCCCGUGACCCUUGGUUUAACGGCCGCGGUAUUUUGACCGUGCAAAGGUAGCGCAAUCACUUGUCUCUUAAAUGAAGACCUGUAUGAAUGGCAUGACGAGGGCUUAACUGUCUCCUUUUCUCGGUCAAUGAAAUUGAUCUCCCCGUGCAGAAGCGGGAAUACCCCCAUAAGACGAGAAGACCCUAUGGAGCUUUAGACACUAGAACAGAUCAUGUAAAAUACUCAUUAAAAAGUAAAAACAAUUGAACCUCUGUUCCCCUGUCUUUGGUUGGGGCGACCACGGGGAAGAAUAAAACCCCCACGUGGGCUGGGAACAUAUCAUUCCUACAAUUACGAGCCACAGCUCUAAAACGCAGAAUUUCUGACCAAUGAGAUCCGGCAACGCCGAUCAACGGACCUAGUUACCCUAGGGAUAACAGCGCAAUCCCCUUUGAGAGUUCAUAUCGACAAGGGGGUUUACGACCUCGAUGUUGGAUCAAGACAUCCUAAUGGUGCAACCGCUAUUAAGGGUUCGUUUGUUCAACGAUUAAAGUCUU